rnacentral:misc_RNA from 1 species
GUGAGAUCUAAAAUUUCAUCACAAUAUGAAGAUAUAUCCCUGGGACACCUAAGUAAGAAACUCUCCAAUGCCUGUAAACUGUAUUCACGAAGUUCCUCAUCUGCUUCUGAUGCACUUGUGCAGUAAGUAACCAGCAAUGGCACAGUUUCACUAAGAUGGGGUCCAAAUCGGUAACCUACAGAACGACUUAAGGCUCCGAUCAU